AUACGUAGGGGGCGAGCGUUGUCCGGAAUGAUUGGGCGUAAAGGGCGCGUAGGCGGCCCGGUAAGUCUGGAGUGAAAGUCCUGUUUUUAAGAUGGGAAUUGCUUUGGAUACUGUCGGGCUUGAGUGCAGGAGAGGUAAGUGGAAUUCCCAGUGUAGCGGUGAAAUGCGUAGAGAUUGGGAGGAACACCAGUGACGAAGGCGACUUACUGGACUGUAACUGACGCUGAGGCGCGAAAGUGUGGGGAGCAAACAGGAUUAGAUACCCUGGUAGUCCACACUGUAAACGAUGAAUGCUAGGUGUAGGGGGUAUCGACCCCUUCUGUGCCGCAGUCAACACAAUAAGCAUUCCGCCUGGGGAGUACGGCCGCAAGGUUGAAACUCAAAUGAAUUGACGGGG
rnacentral:rRNA from 1 species